CUGUAUUUUUAAUCGAAUGAGGGGGGAUGAUAUAUAACCUCUAAAGCCAUCCUCUCACGUGCGUGUUACUGCCUUCGAAUGAUUAACGUCUUUGAUCCGUGACUAUUGUUGCUUAAGUCGUGUUGCCUAAAAUGUUCCCACCGUGGUCUUCUCUAUAAUUUUUAUCUUUCCCAUUUGAUCCGAGCAUUUCAAUCGAGUCUC